AGUGAACGCUGGCGGUAGGCCUAACACAUGCAAGUCGAACGGCAGCACAGUAAGAGCUUGCUCUUACGGGUGGCGAGUGGCGGACGGGUGAGGAAUACAUCGGAAUCUACUUUUUCGUGGGGGAUAACGUAGGGAAACUUACGCUAAUACCGCAUACGACCUACGGGUGAAAGCAGGGGAUCUUCGGACCUUGCGCGAUUGAAUGAGCCGAUGUCGGAUUAGCUAGUUGGCGGGGUAAAGGCCCACCAAGGCGACGAUCCGUAGCUGGUCUGAGAGGAUGAUCGGCCACACUGGAACUGAGACACGGUCCAGACUCCUACGGGAGGCAGCAGUGGGGAAUAUUGGACAGUGGGCGCAAGCCUGGUCCAGCCAUACCGCGUGGGUGAAGAAGGCCUUCGGUUUGUAAAGCCCUUUUGUUGGGAAAGAAAAGCAGCAGCUUAAUACCCCGCUGUUCUGACGGUACCCAAAGAAUAAGCACCGGCUAACUUCGUG
rnacentral:rRNA from 1 species